rnacentral:rRNA from 1 species
AUGGGCGCCGACGACGUGCCUAGCUCCGGCCAACUCGCGCGAUCCAGUCCCCACAGGUGGGAUGGAGAUGGAACCAUGACUGUGAGCAAGGCCAUUGCCGCCGACGAGUGGAGCAGCGGAGGACGGUGCAUCGGAGCGCGGAUCCGCGGGGUCAACGUGGGGAUCCUGGACGAGCAGGUGCUCACGCUCGUGUUCCGCUCCAUCAGCUGGGACCCGCGGGCGCUGUGCGCGCUGGCGCGGGCCUGCCGCCGCCUGCGCGCCGUGGUGGACCGCGUGCUGUGGCGGGAGCUCUGCGUCGCGCGGGCGCCACGGAUGGUGGCGGCGCUCUCCACGGGGCCAUCGUCGGGCCGCGUGCCCGGCGGCUGGCCGGCGCUCGCCAAGCUGCUCCUCUUCUGCUGCGGCGCCGCGGGGGCGGGCGUCCCGGGCCACCUCGCCGCCUUCUCGCCCUUCUCCAAGACGUCGGGCCGGAGCUUCCUGUCACGGCGGUGCGCCGGGGACCUGCUGUACGCGUCGGACCCGUGCGAGCACGCGAUGGCCGCCGCCGCCGCCGCCGACGAUGACGACGACGACGUGGGCGCGUACCGUGGCGUGUUCGGCGGCUUCAUGCGCUCCCGCACUCGCGCCUGCCUGGUGGGCAGACACGCCCCGCUGGAGCCCCGCGUGCGCUGCCCCUGCUGCGGCGCCGGCGUCUGGAGCUUGACAGACGCGGGGCUCGUGCCGCGCAGCGCAUGCCGCCGUCUCGGCGCACGCGACGGCCGCCUCGUCUACUUUGUCUGCGUCAGCGGACACCUCCACGGCAGCUGCUGGCUCGCGCGCCUCUCCUCCAGCGACGGCGGUGGCGGCGACGACUCACACAACAACCGGCACUUACCUAAAGUGAAGAGCUUGUGUUGGAAUCUCGUUUUUCCUUGUACAUGCAUAUGUUCUAGCAUAUAUACCUUUUUUUAG